UGGAAAGCGAUAGCUCAGUUUGAUCAGGCAUCCUCACUCUGUCCUGGGCAUGGCUCCCUGUCCUCCGGCGGGGAGAGGAGGGAAAUACUGUGGGGGUUGGGGAACGAGAUCUGGGCUAGUCCUUGUCUCUGCCAUUACAGCCACCUUGCCUGCCUCCCUCACUGCCGCAGCAUCUGCGGCUCAGGCUCUCCCUCCCCUGCAGUCCAAACAGGCAGCCGGUGCCCCUGCCUCCGCCACAUCCACCAUGCUGGAUAUUUUCAUCUUAAUGUUUUUUGCCAUCAUCGGCCUGGUGAUCCUCUCCUACAUCAUCUACCUGCUCUAGGAGCCCCAACAGCAGUGCAGGGGAAGGAUGAAAGACAGCAGCCAGCCAUCCUGCCAAUCAAAGCCUCGUCCAGCUCUCAGGCCUGGGUCAGACAAGUGUCACCUUAUCCUCAGCAGCGGCAGCAGCAAUGCCAGAGCCAUCAGGAGAAAGAGUUAACUCUUUGCAAGCAACCCGCUUCCCGAGCAGCUGGCGAGAGGAAAACCAGCCAUUGGACAGUGCAGAUGUCAAGACUUAUAAACGCCCUUGACAGAAUGUCUGAGCUGUAAUGCAUUUGAAGAGCAAAUACAAAGCAACCUGGCCUCAAGAAUGGACAGAGAGAGAGAGGGAGCGAUAAUGAAACCUCACUAUGGAGAAGUGUGUUGUUUUGUUUGCCAUGCUGGUAUUAAGGAAAUUUAACUGUUCAUUGUUCUGUGGCCACAUAGAUAUCCCCCCUCCUUGGGAAAAGUACCUGCUGUUUUUUAGUUUUAGAAAGUAUAUAUAUAUUUUAAUUAAAAAAAAAAAGCUAAGAAAACAACACAAAAUGAGAGCAAAAUCUGAAUAUCACAAUAGUAUCUUAUUCAGACACGUCACCUUUCAUUUUCACUGAUCACCCACUGCUUAUCACUGGGUAUUGCUAAAAUGCAGCUACUUCUGGGGUGGAGGGUGGCAACUAGCUAGAACACUUCGGGAAUGGGAGCACGAAUUUUGGACAAGGACUAUAAAGGAAAAUCCCUAUGCAGAAGAAAGAUGCAAGGGACCUUUUGGACCAAUUCAUCAAGACAGCUGGUGCUGAGCCUGUGUUUGAAAAAUGCUUUUAAACACAUUUCUGCCACUAAUCUGAGUGCCCAGUUUAUAUGGAGGGGGCAACAACCAGAACACAGAUUAGCCUCAGAAAUGCUAGUUAGCCAGCAACUCGUACUCCAAGCCUGUUCGGGGAGAUGUGAAUGAUCAUAGAAUAUCAGGGUUGGAAGGGACCUCAGGAGGUCAUCUAGUCCAACCCCCUGCUCAAAGCAGGACCAAUCCCCAUGAUACCAUGGGCUCAUCUGUUUUGAGGGUGGGGGGGCCCCCAUAGCUCCAAAUAAAGCCACUGGGGGGGGGGUUCUAAACCCCCUC
rnacentral:lncRNA from 1 species